CCUGCUCUCACUGCCCUCGGUGUUUCUUUUCUUCCUAAAGUUCAUUUCUCUGGCAAAGCAAUGCAAUCCUUGAAUUAAGACACCUGUGAAAAACUUAAGAAACUUCCUGGUCCAUAACUUUCUUCAGACAGCGUCAAUGAUAUCACAACAACCCAGACUUCUUUAACUUUUUCUUUAAAAUAUCUACCACAGAUUCUGUAUCGUUUUCAUGCAGACCAAUCCCCAGCUUGAUCAUCUACAUUGAAUUUGUUGCAUAUUAAAGAGAUUUUUUUAUUAUUUUUUUACAGCAGAUGAAAAAACGCUCACUCUAAAUCUUGCUGGCUUUCCAUCACAUCAGAUUGACCGAGACACCCUGAUUCCUUGUCUUUAUUUGUUUUCUGCAGAAUUCUCCUGUCUCUUUUGCUUCAAGUUCAACUGGUAAAAAGCUUUUCACUGCUAGGGGUCCCAGCAAUCCAAACCAGAUGCCCAGCCUCCCAAUCUAAUGCAUGAGCAGAGGGGCUCUCUGAAACACCAGCACAGACUAGAAAAUCCAGAGACACAUUAGUUUCCAUAAAUCUGCUUUAAGGAAUAUCAUGCUCCACUGGAUGCUUGAUGACAUGGGAAAUGGGUGGUAAUGCAAGUUCUUGUCCGUGAAAGCUGGACCAGCUCUAGCAGAAUGACAGGGCAUGAUAGCCGGUCCUCACAAUUCUGUGGAGCAUCCUGCACCUCUGAGGUUUCCAGGUUUGCCACCAGGUCACAGAAAUCAAUUACUCUCACAGCAUUUUUUAAGGGUAUGCAUGCAAGGUGGUUAUGCAUUAUUGGACAGCAAGAAAGAAGAGGAUAUGCAGUCAUUUCACAGGAUUUCCUAUUCAUAUAUGCAUCUGAAAAUUGCUCUUGAAAUAUGUGCCAUUUUGAUUGGAACAAACUGAAUAUAGUUGUUCAUUCUCCAGGCAUGACUGCCAUGAAGGAAAGAAUUACAAUCAGGUAUUAAUCAAGCUAUUAUUACAGGCUGCAGGGAUUUUGUACCUUCAUAGGCAGAGAGCCAGACAAGAUCACUAUGUGCAUUCAUUUCUUCAGAAAAUAACUGUUAUUUGUACAGUGCCUGUCAUCUUCACCUUAUAUCACCAUAGCUGCCAUUCAGUUAUGAAUAUUCACUUUCAAUGACAAUUUUCAGGAAAACUCAUGUAUAUUUACUUACUGUAAGCCAAUCAUUCCUUUCUAAAACUAAUAAAAUGCCAACAGCCUACAACAAGUCUCAGAAUAUUGUGACUGCACAGUUCCUUGCCACUGUUGUCAAAGGUUUUGGGAGUUUCCAAGGAUAAACUAAGGGCAGCAGAAGCAAUGGGGAGUCCAAGCAAUUCACUUAGCUCCCUUCCUAUUUUAUUUGCUUCAAAAGAAACAUGUACAGAGCUGUGUCUGCAGUAACUCAGUGCUGCUGCACCAGACUUAUGCUGAUGACCUUGUAAAUGGAUUCCUAUAAGAUUUUAUCAAUAGUAUAAGAGACUUUUCUGUUUAUUCUCUCAUCCAGUAUCAAAAUGAAGGCACACAUAUGCACACACAUACACAGAGAAGUCAAACAGUGAUAAAAAAGACACACCGAUGUAUGAUAACUUCUUUAUUAGCAGGCUUAAAAUCUUUGCUAAUACUAAAAAAGCAAGAAGAAAA